UGCAGAUGAUGUUAAAGAAUAUUUGCUAUCUUACAACUCUGAAGACAAAUUUCUCACCAAGAUCGCUGAUGCA
ensembl:snoRNA SNORD24 Small nucleolar RNA SNORD24